CACGUAGGGUGCGAGCGUUGUCCGGAAUUAUUGGGCGUAAAGAGCUCGUAGGCGGUGUGUGGCGUCGGCCGUGAAAACCUGCAGCUUAACUGUGGGCUUGCGGUCGAUACGGGCAUCACUGGAGUUCGGCAGGGGAGACUGGAAUUCCUGGUGUAGCGGUGAAAUGCGCAGAUAUCAGGAGGAACACCGGUGGCGAAGGCGGGUCUCUGGGCCGAUACUGACGCUGAGGAGCGAAAGCGUGGGGAGCGAACAGG
rnacentral:rRNA from 1 species